AUCUACAGCCAUACCACCCUGAACGCGCCCGAUCUCGUCUGAUCUUAGAAGCUAAGCAGGGUCGGGCCUGGUUAGUACUUGGAUGGGAGGAAUAGUAAAACUCAUGUAAACU
ensembl:rRNA Gm24573 predicted gene, 24573